rnacentral:rRNA from 1 species
GGGAGAGUUUGAUCCUGGCUCAGAUUGAACGCUGGCGGAAUGCUUUACACAUGCAAGUCGAACGGCAGCACGGGUGCUUGCACCUGGUGGCGAGUGGCGAACGGGUGAGUAACAUAUAGGAACAUGCCCAGUAAUGGGGGAUAACGCCGAGAAAUCGGUGCUAAUACCGCAUACGCCCUGAGGGGGAAAGCGGGGGAUCUUCGGACCUCGCGUUACUGGAUUGGCCUAUAUCUGAUUAGCUAGUUGGUGAGGUAAAGGCUCACCAAGGCGACGAUCAGUAGCUGGUCUGAGAGGAUGAUCAGCCACACUGGGACUGAGAGGCGGCCCAGACUCCUACGGGAGGCAGCAGUGGGGAAUUUUGGACAAUGGGCGAAAGCCUGAUCCAGCCAUUCCGCGUGAGUGAAGAAGGCCUUCGGGUUGUAAAGCUCUUUCGGCAGGAAAGAAAUCGCCAUUUUUAAUAGAGAUGGUGGAUGACGGUACCUGAAGAAGAAGCACCGGCUAACUACGUGCCAGCAGCCGCGGUAA